rnacentral:tRNA from 3 species
CUAUUUAUAUAGUUUAAAAAAACGUUACUUUUUCAUUGUAAAAUUAAAUAUUUAUAUUUUAUAAAUA